GAGCUGAGGCCGCCAUCUUCUGUAGCAGCGCCAUGCCGCGUGUGUACAUCGGGAGGCUGAGUUAUCACGUCCGGGAGAAGGACAUCCAGAGGUUUUUCGGAGGUUACGGAAAGCUACUGGAGGUGGAUCUGAAGAAUGGGUACGGUUUUGUGGAGUUUGAAGACUCGCGUGACGCUGACGAUGCUGUAUAUGAGCUGAAUGGCAAAGACCUUUGCGGAGAGCGUGUGAUCGUAGAGCAUGCCAGGGGACCACGCCGGGACAGAGAUGGAUUCAGCUUUGGAAGUCGCAGUGGCUACAGGAGCCAAAGAUCUGGCAGAGAUAAGUAUGGUCCGCCUGUACGUACAGAGUUCAGACUAAUUGUGGAAAACCUCUCUAGUCGCUGCAGCUGGCAGGACCUUAAGGAUUUCAUGAGGCAGGCAGGUGAGGUUACCUAUGCAGAUGCACACAAGGAGCAUACCAAUGAGGGUGUGAUUGAAUUUCGAUCCUAUUCUGAUAUGAAGAGAGCUGUUGACAAGCUAGAUGGCACAGAGAUAAAUGGCAGAAAAAUUCGCCUGGUUGAAAGCAAGACUCGCCACAGAAGGUCUUAUUCUGGAAGCAGGUCAAGGUCAAGAUCAAGGAGCAGGAGGAGAUCUCGCAGCAGGAGCAGACAUAGCAGCCACAGCAGAUCCAGAAGCAGGUCUCGCUCACCAGCAAAGAAGAGUCGUUCCCGUUCACCAGCCAAAAGAAGUCGCUCUCAUUCCCCUGCUAAGAAAAGUCUGUCUCGGUCUCCUGUUAAGGAAAGCCGCUCUCGGUCUCCAAUAAAACGCAGCCGUUCACAUUCACCUGCUAAGAGUCAAUCAAGGUCAAAAUCUCGGUCCAGAAGUAAGGAAACCUCUCGAUCACCAUCAAAGCAGAGAAAGUCCCGUUCAGUAAGCAAACCUAAAUCGGAUCAUGGCUCUCGAUCUCGCAGCCGGUCCAAGGGAAAACGCAAGAGAUCUCGUAGUCAUUCUAGAGGGAAACGAGAACGCUCUAGCAGCCGUCCCAAAUCAAAACGUGAGAGGUCUAGCAGCCGCUCCAAGUCAAAGCGCGAUCGAUCCAGCAGUCGUUCCAAGAGCAAACGUGAGCGUUCCCGAAGUCGCUCCAAAGGAAAACGAGAGUCUAUGGGUAAAAGAGAUCAAUCCAGAGAACGAUCACGUAGUCCAUCAAAUGGAAAGGAGAACAGAUCUCCUGAGCGAUCACGCAGCCAGUCUAGAGAGAGAUCAAGAGAGAGGUCUCCGGAAAGAUCUCGUAGUCUUUCAAAGGGAAAUAGAGAGGAUUCCAGAGAGAGAUCCAGAAGUCAGUCCAAGGGGGAACAUGACCGCUCUCGUAGUCGAUCAAGAAGCAAUAGGGAUCGUUCUAGGAGUCGAUCAAACACUAAACAGGAAAGAUCUUCCCAUAGUCGUUCCAGAUCCCCUUCCCCAAGAGAAAAUGGUAAAGGUGAUGCUAGAUCCCGGUCUAAAUCACCUGGCCCACCUUCUGCUGGUAAGGAAGGGUCAACUUCUCCACCUCCACGCCCUACCUCUGCCGCCAGCUCUAGGUCUCGUUCUAGCUCCCCAGAGUAGUGUUUGUUGUGAAGUAGAUUUAUAUGCAGAGUGUCAGGACUGGUCCCCACAAUUUGAUUCCCAUAAAUCACUUUGUUAAUUGUUUCAGUGCAGACGUGUCCAUGUUUUUCUGUCCUAUCCUGACAAGGGAAGGGUUUCAGCUAUGUAAAUAUUAAAAGGCAAUAAUUUUUUAUUUUUUUUUUGCAUGAAAAUUUCAAGAGCUGAAGUUAUGGCGCUGAAAGGUAUUUUUCCCUUUAGUUACUUAGUACGGUGGAUUACUAUAGUUGCUGAUCCCUGCUAUAGUAGAUGCACUCAAAUUACUAUGACUGGUUCCAUGUACACCCCUAAUGAAGUGCAUUGCAUUGUCUUUGAGCAAGAAAGUAUUUAAAACUUCAGUGGUUGAUGGGACUUUUAAUGGAGAUCCCAUUUCAGUUUAGCUGCUGACAUUGUAAAUAAAAGGUUUGUACUAUCUGUUGGGCGUUUUUUUAAUUUUUCAUUUUUUAGGAUGUUCUGUAAGUUCAUUUUUGCAAAGCAAAUAAAGUUUUUUUUCUGCUGUGCAACCUGG